GGGGGGGGCGAGCGUUAUUCGGAAUUAUUGGGCGUAAAGGGCGCGUAGGUGGCUUGGUAAGUCAAAGGUGAAAUCCCUCGGCUCAACUGAGGAAUUGCCUUUGAAACUGCCUGGCUUGAGGCCGGGAGGGGGUAGCGGAAUUCCCAGUGUAGCGGUGAAAUGCGUAGAUACUGGGAGGAACACCGGUGGCGAAGGCGGCUACCUGGACCGGUUCUGACACUGAGGCGCGAAAGCGUGGGGAGCAAACAGGAUUAGAUACCCUGGUAGUCCACGCUGUAAACGAUGGGUGCUCGGUGUCGCGGGUAUCGGCCCCUGCGGUGCCUUAGCUAACGCGUUAAGCACCCCGCCUGGGGAGUACGGUCGCAAGGCUG
rnacentral:rRNA from 1 species